rnacentral:rRNA from 1 species
GGCGGGCGGCGGCCUACACAUGCAAGUCGAGCGGAUGAAGGGAGCUUGCUCCUGGAUUCAGCGGCGGACGGGUGAGUAAUGCCUAGGAAUCUGCCUGGUAGUGGGGGAUAACGUCCGGAAACGGGCGCUAAUACCGCAUACGUCCUGAGGGAGAAAGUGGGGGAUCUUCGGACCUCACGCUAUCAGAUGAGCCUAGGUCGGAUUAGCUAGUUGGUGGGGUAAAGGCCUACCAAGGCGACGAUCCGUAACUGGUCUGAGAGGAUGAUCAGUCACACUGGAACUGAGACACGGUCCAGACUCCUACGGGAGGCAGCAGUGGGGAAUAUUGGACAAUGGGCGAAAGCCUGAUCCAGCCAUGCCGCGUGUGUGAAGAAGGUCUUCGGAUUGUAAAGCACUUUAAGUUGGGAGGAAGGGCAGUAAGUUAAUACCUUGCUGUUUUGACGUUACCAACAGAAUAAGCACCGGCUAACUUCGUGCCAGCAGCCGCGGUAAUACGAAGGGUGCAAGCGUUAAUCGGAAUUACUGGGCGUAAAGCGCGCGUAGGUGGUUCAGCAAGUUGGAUGUGAAAUCCCCGGGCUCAACCUGGGAACUGCAUCCAAAACUACUGAGCUAGAGUACGGUAGAGGGUGGUGGAAUUUCCUGUGUAGCGGUGAAAUGCGUAGAUAUAGGAAGGAACACCAGUGGCGAAGGCGACCACCUGGACUGAUACUGACACUGAGGUGCGAAAGCGUGGGGAGCAAACAGGAUUAGAUACCCUGGUAGUCCACGCCGUAAACGAUGUCGACUAGCCGUUGGGAUCCUUGAGAUCUUAGUGGCGCAGCUAACGCGAUAAGUCGACCGCCUGGGGAGUACGGCCGCAAGGUUAAACUCAAAUGAAUUGACGGGGGCCCGCACAAGCGGUGGAACAUGUGGUUAAUUCGAAGCACGCGAGAACCUUACCUGGCCUUGACUGCUGAAACUUUCCAAAGAUGGAUGGGUGCUUCGGAACUCA